rnacentral:rRNA from 1 species
GACGAACGCUGGCGGCGUGCUUAACACAUGCAAGUCGAACGGUGAACCUCUUCGGAGGGGAUCAGUGGCGAACGGGUGAGUAACACGUGGGCAACCUGCCCCCGGCUCUGGGAUAACUCCAAGAAAUUGGGGCUAAUACCGGAUGUUCACCGCUUCCCGCAUGGGUGGUGGUGGAAAGGGUUUCCGGCUGGGGAUGGGCCCGCGGCCGAUCAGCUUGUUGGUGGGGUAGUGGCCUACCAAGGCGACGACGGGUAGCCGGCCUGAGAGGGUGACCGGCCACACUGGGACUGAGACACGGCCCAGACUCCUACGGGAGGCAGCAGUGGGGAAUAUUGCGCAAUGGGCGGAAGCCUGACGCAGCGACGCCGCGUGGGGGAUGACGGCCUUCGGGUUGUAAACCUCUUUCAGCAGGGACGAAGCGCAAGUGACGGUACCUGCAGAAGAAGCACCGGCCAACUACGUG